AACGAACGCUGGCGGCAGGCCUAACACAUGCCAGUCGAGCGAACCUUCCGGGGUGCGGCGGAGGGGUGUGUAACGCGUGGGAAUAUGCGCUUCUCUACGGGGUAGCCUCGGGGGAAUGAGGGGAAAACAGCAAAUGCGCUGUGGGGGGAAGAUUUUUCGGGUAAGGAUAGGGGCGCGUUGGUUUAGGUAGUUGGUGGGGUAAUGGCGGACCAAGGCGACGAUCCAUAGCUGGUGUGAGAGGAUGAUCAGCCACAUUGGGACUGAGACACGGCCCAGACUCCUACGGGAGGCAGCAGUGGGGAAUCUUACACAAUGGGCGCAAGCCUGAUGCAGCCAUGCCGCGUGAGUGAUGAAGGCCUUAGGAUUGUAAAGCUCUUUCAGCGGGGAAGAUAAUGACGGUACCAGCAGAAGAAGCCCCGGCUAACUUCGUG
rnacentral:rRNA from 1 species